CACCGGACGCCCCUUCCCUCUUUGUUUUCUUUAUCAGCGCGCCCAGCUGCGAUGCUCCCAGACAGUGCUGGACGCCAGGCCACCGGCUCCCUUCCCGAGGGCAGCUGCACACAAGACCGUCAACAGUGAGGAAAGUGACACCGGUACAUUAAAGGCAGGAAAGUCCCCCUCUCCCGCCGGUCCUCUGAUGAUAAUCCAGCCUAUCUGUCACCUAGAGUGUGUGCGUUCUCCUUCACAGACACAAGUAGGAGCCCAGGCUGCCCCUGCCAGCCCUACCCAUCCAGAUCUCAGCAUCCCACUCCGACCUCCUUUCAACCUGACCCACAGUGUAUCCACAGUGGACCCUGCCAAGCAGAACUGAAGCACAGGGGUGUGUGCCCAUCACUCCAGAACAAAGCCUCCUUAACAAGAGCUACAUAAAUCUGGGUUCUGCAGGGAUGGGAAGUGAGAUGCCUUUCAAAUGAACCCCAGAAUGCCUACAGAUGACCUCUUCUCUGUCCUGCAGUGGUGGAGGGAGUUCCUAAGCCCCAAGAGAGCAAUUAAGUCAAACGAUUACGAAGAAUCCGAAACACUUCCCGCUGCAAAGUAGAAGUAAAUUAGACACAAACCAAAUUGGAAACAGAAAUGUAUAUUGCACUGCAAAAUGUGACUUCAGAUGCACUGAACCACACAAGAAAAUCAAUCAAAUUGCUUUAGAAUCCCAUCUUCUGGUACUGCCUUGUUUCAUAAUCCCAAAGAGUCUAACACAAGUUGAUCAUUAUGAAACUGACUUAAAAAGAAAAGACUUUUGACUAUUUCCAAAAUUUGCAUCAGCCUUUAAUAGAAGAAGGUCUGCCACUGCUAACGGUAUUCAAAAGAAUGUGCUGUGAGUCCUUAAAUUAACUCCAAAGAGACAGUCCAAAAAUGUUUUAGGAAAGGCAUCAUCACUGAAAUAAAUGAAUGGUUUCCCAAUGUGACCACUCAAUUAAAUGCACAAAUUUUGCUGAGAUAAUUUUAAAUUCAGGCAUACCUUAUAAUAAAUUUAUGCGUAUUUAGUUUGUGGUGUAUUAUGUUUUCCAGUAUGCUUCUCAGUUAAUUAAAAAGUGGUUCAUUACAACUUUUACAAAUUAUUUAUGAGAGAACUAUAUAUUUUCCAGGAAAAAAAAAAAGAUUGCCUAAUUU